rfam:Populus trichocarpa isolate Nisqually-1 chromosome 1, whole genome shotgun sequence.
UUGUGUGUAUGGGUCAAAUCAUCAUCUAGUUCUGUCAGAUCCUCACCCGAAUGAUCAGAAUAUUUAGUUUCCACAAGCCUAAUUGUAUCAAAAACUCAAAUUUAAACCAAGUAAAAAAAAAAUAUUCCCUAGCCAUGAA